CUUAUAUAGUAGCUGUAGUCUGGUCACUACGCUGAUCUAUGGUUAAAACAAGCUAAAAAAAAAUUUUCUCCCGGCUGAACGAAUUUCACACAUCGCAGCAAAAGUUUGUCUCGCCUGAAAACUAAACGUACGCGCAAAAGGGACGCCCCCUGCUGGAGAGAUCUCUCAUGUCAGCCGAGGGACAUGAUUCAGACUGGAGCAGAUCCUGCAGGCCCCACAAAAUGAGAUGCUGGCUGGGGGCACUACCUGUGAAGCGGGACAGUUUAAAUCAAGCAUCUGGGCCCA